rnacentral:rRNA from 1 species
UUGAAAGGCGCUUUCGGGUGUCGCUGAUGGAUGGACCCGCGGUGCAUUAGCUAGUUGGUGAGGUAACGGCUCACCAAGGCCACGAUGCAUAGCCGACCUGAGAGGGUGAUCGGCCACAUUGGGACUGAGACACGGCCCAAACUCCUACGGGAGGCAGCAGUAGGGAAUCUUCGGCAAUGGACGAAAGUCUGACCGAGCAACGCCGCGUGAGUGAAGAAGGUUUUCGGAUCGUAAAACUCUGUUGUUAGAGAAGAACAAGGAUGAGAGUAACUGUUCAUCCCUUGACGGUAUCUAACCAGAAAGCCACGGCUAACUACGUGCCAGCAGCCGCGGUAAUACGUAGGUGGCAAGCGUUGUCCGGAUUUAUUGGGCGUAAAGCGAGCGCAGGCGGUUUCUUAAGUCUGAUGUGAAAGCCCCCGGCUCAACCGGGGAGGGUCAUUGGAAACUGGGAGACUUGAGUGCAGAAGAGGAGAGUGGAAUUCCAUGUGUAGCGGUGAAAUGCGUAGAUAUAUGGAGGAACACCAGUGGCGAAGGCGGCUCUCUGGUCUGUAACUGACGCUGAGGCUCGAAAGCGUGGGGAGCAAACAGGAUUAGAUACCCUGGUAGUCCACGCCGUAAACGAUGAGUGCUAAGUGUUGGAGGGUUUCCGCCCUUCAGUGCUGCAGCUAACGCAUUAAGCACUCCGCCUGGGGAGUACGACCGCAAGGUUGAAACUCAAAGGAAUUGACGGGGGCCCGCACAAGCGGUGGAGCAUGUGGUUUAAUUCGAAGCAACGCGAAGAACCUUACCAGGUCUUGACAUCCUUUGACCACUCUAGAGAUAGAGCUUCCCCUUCGGGGGCAAAGUGACAGGUGGUGCAUGGUUGUCGUCAGCUCGUGUCGUGAGAUGUUGGGUUAAGUCCCGCAACGAGCGCAACCCUUAUUGUUAGUUGCCAUCAUUCAGUUGGGCACUCUAGCAAGACUGCCGGUGACAAACCGGAGGAAGGUGGGGAUGACGUCAAAUCAUCAUGCCCCUUAUGACCUGGGCUACACACGUGCUACAAUGGGAAGUACAACGAGUCGCGAAGUCGCGAGGCUAAGCUAAUCUCUUAAAGCUUCUCUCAGUUCGGAUUGUAGGCUGCAA